rnacentral:rRNA from 1 species
AGUUGGUGCAUGGCCGUUCUUAGUUGGUGGAGCGAUUUGUCAGGUUAAUUCCGGUAACGAACGUAACUCUAGCCUAUUAAAUAGACGUGCAACCGGUAUCACGAGGGUCCGCGCGUGCGCGGUUGUCGCGAUCGGCGUUCACGCGUCGUCCCGCGGCUCCGCGUCGUGUGGUCUUCACUACCGGCGUACAAUGAAAAUCUUCUUAGAGGGACCGGCGGUAUAUAUAGCCGCACGAGAUUGAGCAAUAGCAGGUCUGUGAUGCCCUUAGAUGGUCAU